rnacentral:rRNA from 1 species
UUUCCCUACGGGGGGCAGCAGUGGGGAAUAUUGGACAAUGGGGGAAGCCCUGAUCCAGCGACGCCGCGUGAGUGAAGAAGUAUUUCGGUACGUAAAGCUCUAUCAGCAGGAAAGAAAAUGACGGUACCUGACUAAGAAGCCCCGGCUAACUACGUGCCAGCAGCCGCGGUAAUACGUAGGGGGCAAGCGUUAUCCGGAUUUACUGGGUGUAAAGGGAGCGUAGGCGGCGAUGCAAGUCAGAAGUGAAAGCCCGGGGCUCAACUCCGGGACUGCUUUUGAAACUGUAUGGCUAGAUUGCAGGAGAG